ACUCGAGUGGCGAACGGGUGAGUAACACGUGGGUGAUCUGCCCUGUACUUUGGGAUAAGCCUGGGAAACUGGGUCUAAUACCGAAUAUGACCACUUCUUGGAUGGGGUGGUGGAAAGCUUUUGCGGUAUGGGAUGAGCUCGCGGCCUAUCAGCUUGUUGGUGGGGUAAUGGCCUACCAAGGCGUCGACGGGUAGCCGGCCUGAGAGGGUGUACGGCCACAUUGGGACUGAGAUACGGCCCAG
rnacentral:rRNA from 1 species